rnacentral:lncRNA from 1 species
GGAGGGAAAGGGAGGGAGAAAGAGAGAGAGAGAAAGAGUGAGUGAGAUCUCCUUUUUACCCUCCAUGCACUCACACACAACACACACACAUAUGGAGAGAGGAAGUGAGAGAUAGAGGGCCUCUCCUCUUUUUCUUUCUUUUUUCUUUCCUUGGUAACAAGAGAGGAGGAGAACCGAGAGCAAGAGAGGGAGAAAAUAAGAAUACAAGAAGAAGAGCAAGGGAGUAGGAGAGCAUAGAAAAGAGAGAGAUGUGUUAGGAAAAAAGAAAUCCAAGAUCAAAAUAGGGCACGAGGG